rnacentral:rRNA from 1 species
UACGAAGGGGGCUAGCGUUGUUCGGAAUUACUGGGCGUAAAGCGCACGUAGGCGGCUUUUUAAGUCAGGGGUGAAAUCCCGGAGCUCAACUCCGGAACUGCCCUUGAAACUGGGAAGCUAGAAUCUUGGAGAGGCGAGUGGAAUUCCGAGUGUAGAGGUGAAAUUCGUAGAUAUUCGGAAGAACACCAGUGGCGAAGGCGACUCGCUGGACAAGUAUUGACGCUGAGGUGCGAAAGCGUGGGGAGCAAACAGG